UGGAGAAAAGCAGGGGAUCGUAAGACCUUGCGCUUUUGGAGCGGCCGAUGUCUGAUUAGCUAGUUGGUGGGGUAAUGGCCUACCAAAGCUUCGAUCAGUAGCUGGUCUGAGAGGACGGCCAGCCACACUGGGACUGAGACACGGCCCAGACUCCUACGGGAGGCAGCAGUGGGGAAUUUUGGACAAUGGGCGCAAGCCUGAUCCAGCCAUGCCGCGUGAGUGAAGAAGGCCUUCGGGUUGUAAAGCUCUUUCAGCCGGGAAGAAAAGGCUGCGAUUAAUAAUCGCAGUUCAUGACGGUACCGGAAGAAGAAGCACCGGCUAACUACGUGCCGGCAGCCGCGGUAAUACGUAGGGUGCGAGCGUUAAUCGGAAUUACUGGGCGUAAAGGGUGCGCAGGCGGUUUUGUAAGUCAGAUGUGA
rnacentral:rRNA from 1 species